rnacentral:tRNA from 1 species
ACAUCGGUAGCACAGUGGUUAGUGCAGUCUGCCGGAAACAGAAAGAAGCGGGUUCAAUUCCCGUCGGAUAUC